CUAUACAGUAAGGCAAUACAAUUCAAUUUCAUGCCUGGGAUGACAUCAUGAUAUGUAAUUUUUGUUAGAAAAUUGAAAAGUCAAAAAUUUAUAAAAAUGAACCUUAUUAUCUGGAGGGAAUAAUUUGUCAACUAAACGUCAUAAAUGUGUGUAUUUUGGCUGUGCCAUGUCUAACUACAUUUUCAAGAUUAACUUAUAUAAUAUGUUAUAUGCAUAAACUAUUAGAUUAGAUACAAAUGUAUUUAUCCUUUUGGGAAGGUUCCUUCAAGGGAACUAAAAUAACCCUAACCUAACCCUAACCAUAUUUUAUCAAAGAGUAUGAUCUUUUCCCCUAAAUAGUUUCAGAGCUUUGCAUACGAGUUGUUUCCAACCUGCAGUGUGGGGACUUUGCCUCCCCCUACUGGCAGUGGUAAUAAUUACAACGUCAAUGCCUGCUCAGACAUCCCCUUUUCUUCACGUUUAAGUGUUCACUGUUUAGGGAAGCUAGAUUAAUAGUCUGUUUCUACUUCUUUUAGCUGUAAUUCUCUGGUAAUCGAGUAUGGAUGGUAUAGUUUUGGAUUGUAGGUUUUAUCUUAUUACUUAAAAUACUGGGUUAAAAAAUAAGAAAGACUCAUUAAUGUAAAGAAAUUCAAAGCUGUCACUGAUGGACUCUUUUGAAGCAACAUUUAACAAUGGCCACCUUUGUAGAAGUCCUCAUACAAAGUCCAUCUUCAGGUCAUGAACUUCACUGUAAACAUUUCUACUCUUUAUGGUUUGAGAGUACUUCUGGUAUCUCUGCCUCUGAUUUGAUUAUCGCCAUUUUUGAAUGUUGUUGCAAAAAAAUGCACCAAGUAAAAGAACCUGGUUUUGCUUUCUUAAGAGACAAAACAAAGCUUUAGAAGAAACACCAAUAUUGUCGAUAGGAAUUGGCAAAAACUGUUUGAAUUAUACGGCAAAUCUGUCUGUUUUUCAGAGUUAAGCUCGCUGUUCUGUGCAAAUCCUCAUCCCCCUUGAUGACACCUUCAGUGUUUCAGCCGAAAAUGCAGAGCACAGCUUGUUUGUUUCUUUGUGAAGAGUUGUUAAAUCUCAUUAAUAUUCAUAAACCAGUCAGAAGUAUUGCACAGUCUAAUUACUUGGCAUUUAUUCAGAUGCAGGUUUUUCGUCAUCUACAUAAUGCAGCUGAAGAGACGAGAGGUACAUGUUGCAGGAUCUGGGAUAUAAAUCAGGUCUCUCACAUGGUGAAACUUCAAGUAAUCCUGCAGGAGCUGGCUGGGGCUCAAGUGAAACUAAUUUGAAAGCAUUAUCGGUCAAGUCAAGUCAAGCAUUUUUACCAUUUUAGCAAGUCUGAUGAAAUCCAAAAAGGAUGCUAAAAUGGAGCCAUGUCCAUGAGCACAUCUAAGAGGAUAAUUGCAAAAGUUGUUGAACCACUCGAGAGAAAACAGAUUGGGCCAAAACAGUAAAAUAAAGUUUCAAAUGAAUCGCAAUGACACUGCCUGAAGAGAAAGGCAGCAACUGACAUUUCGGUCAUUUAACACUCUUAUUUACACCAUAUAAAAAAUAAGGUAAAUGUAUGCAGCUUGUUUUUGUCGUGGUUUUGUUCUCUUUACACCCCCUGUCGAAAACGAUGCUGCUUCAUUGGGGGAACUACAAAAUCCCUGUCAGUAAUCUGGAGACCAGGGCUCACAAUUUGACAAUCAGUCAGGUCUAAUAAGGGUUCAGUCAUGCACUGAGUGACAGCUCCAGGGCUCCAGGGCUGUCACUGUGGAUUUUGAAAUCAUGUGUCCAGAGCUGGCCCAAGCCUCAAUGGGGCCCUAAGCUUAAUUUGAUUUUGGGGCCUUCUAUUUCUGCCAAUAAUAUUGAUUUUUGAUCAUUCACACACAUACUACAGUAUAAAUUCAAUGUGCCUGACGUGCCUGGGUAAUAACAUAAAUAAUACCAAUGCAACCAUACAAAUAAUACCAAUGAAUGACUGAUUAUUUAUUUUAUUUUUUAAAAUAAUAUAUAUUUGAUCAUACAGAAAACAUCACUUGUACAUGCAAAAAAUAAAAAAUAUAAAAAUUUAUUAUUUUUUUUGAUUGCUCUUGGGGGCCCCCUACUGGCUAUGGGGCCCUAAGCAGAGGCUUAGUUCACUUAUGCCUUGGGACGGCUCUGAGUGUGUCCCUUGGAUCUUGAUCAAUCCAUACAGCAAGAUAUCAGAUGAUGGUAACUGAAGGCUGAUGUGGUUUUGACGACACUGACUAACUCAACUCUGCAGUUCAUCCAGGGUGAGUGGAUGAAUUUCUUCUAAAAUGCAAAUAAUCUCUAAUUAAGAGCUGACGACUAUAUUAGGCACUGUUAACAGUUACAUGGUGGUAGGAGAGUGAGAGUACAAACCGUUUCCCCACAGGCAUCUGACUCAUUAUCAUAUACAGUGCUAGAGCUCGCAGUACCAGUGCUUUAAAGGCUUGUUCUUAAAGGAUACUCAUCGUGGAGGUUGCCCUGGUUUCUAAAUUCUCAUUAAGGUGUCAGGAGAAAUUAAAAAAACAUUAGACACACACAGUCCCAUGAUAAAUCACAUAGCUCGCAUAAUCCAUUACAGCAAAAAAUCCUCUUUGAAUGCAGCUAUUUGAAACGGAAGUAUUCCUAGUUCUGUACCGUAUCAACCACUAUAGUUAUAUGCUGAUUAAGAGAUGUAAGAUUAGCUUAAGCACGCUAUCAUUUGCUUAUUUACUAUCCUAGUAUCCCUCAGGCAAGGCUAGUGUUGCUGUUUUAGAGGAUCAGCUUUGAGGCUUUUGGUACAAUUCGAUUGAGUUUUUCCAAAACUUCAGAAAAAUAACUCUUUUAUGACCUCAGGUGUAGAGUAAUAGUCAGUAAGUUAGCGUUAACCUGCUAAAUCUUAGUGAGAAUGAUCAACAUGGUGGAUAUGAUACAAAACUGAACAGUUACCUGAUCAGAAUCUUACAGACUAUCUACAUUUUUCUCCCUUCCAGUCUUACCUGCUGCCAAUAGAGGUAAUUUUCUCUUGAGCUUAUGCCGUCAAGAUGGUAGCCUUUUUUUUAAAAGAGGAAGGUCGCCAUGGUAACCAAUGCUGCUCCUGGCUUGAUGAGCAGCAGAGGCUAAACAGCUUAGCUAAUCAUAUCCUGAAAAGAAAGAGCCAGAGGUACAGAGUAAACAGUGAAUUACAGUGAAACGUAUGGAGGCCCUUAAAAGGAUUUACUGUAUGUCUACCACGUAAAGAAACAUCCAACAAGAAAUGGAAUUAAAGCGAAGCAGUAAGAGGUAUGAAGGAUGUGCUCCAAUCAGGGCAAAGGAGGCUUCUCCUGGGCAAGUAGAACAAAAAUGGUUGGAACCACUUCCCGAAGUAGCCUACUCUACACAGGGCCACAUGAGUCUGUUUCCUGAAACCAUAGACUGUAUAUAGAAUGGACGCCGUCUGCCUCCUCGCUGGGUGAAGCCACUCCGAGAACAGCACCCUCUUUUUUCUGUACAGCUCCAUUUUUAAAAGUAAUUAAAAGUAAUGUUUUCUAUGAUUGACACUUGAUACAGCCUAUGGGCGUAUGAAGAUUGAGUUAUUACCGAGGGCUUUUCAGCUUCAAAUCCGUAUACUGGUGGAAGGCAGAACCAAGUUGUCCAUAGUUCAUACAGUCGAUUGUUGAAACAGAAAUAAAUGACUAGAGAGUGAAUUAUUAUGUCAGGAGACGUUUCUUUAUGCUUAUGGGUUUUAAUUAACUACUUGACCUACUCCACUUUGUUAGAAAAUCAUCUUGUCCCCGUUUUUUGUUGGAGCUGCUGCGAUGCAACUCACCUGUCUCUCUCCAACCCCUGGCUGUUCAUCAAACACAGUCCCUCAGUGUGAAUCAGGGUCCUGGUCCAGUGAGCACAUUUCAUAUUCUGCCCCACGCCACAUCCAUCAGUCCUGGAGGAGUUGUCAUCGCACCAAGUCAUCAUUCAUACUGGUUUCAUUUUUAUUUUGCCUUUUUGGACAUGGACAUAUAUUGUUUUGUAACAGAGUAAAUCCAAACCAACCUUUUCCACUUUUCAUCCAUUGUGUAGAAAGAACUGACAUUUGGUUUAUGCCUCUGAAGAUGAUUUUACAUACACCCCAUAAAGCAACUGAACAAAUGGCAGAAGCACAACGUGUGAAAAGCAAAUUCCACAUUCGGAAAUUUACCACCAGAACUUGGACAGUGUAAAAAUAAAACUGUGCAAGCGAAUCUUAUAUCUUCAGUUAGAUCAGGCGAAUUCAGCUGUUGAAUUGCAUCAGUACUGAACUUCUUAAUGACUUCUGCAUGAAAAGUGGGAAUUUUGAUUUUCUGCAUUAACAAUUUCCACUCUGUUUUGUGAGGCGUCAUGAUAACUAUCUCCAACAACAUAUUCUAAUCUGAUCUCCCUAAUCUUUCAAAUCCUUUAUUGACUUUAGAGAUACAAACCUGGUGUUGUAAGCGUGAAAUUGUCAUCCCCGUGGGCUCCAGCAAACACCACCUCCGACGGUGCCAGACGUCCCUGCAGGCUCCGGGUGUUUGCAGUUAAACAAAACUUGAUGAAAAUCCUAGAAGCUCUUCACUGGGGAAAACCACAGAGGAACAUAUAAAGUAUUUAAAGUCGAGGUAGAGAACUUUUAUCGUGGGGAAACAAGGAGGAGAAGUAAUACCUAAAAAUAAACUUCUUCAAAUAAGAUUACCUCUGGGGCGGUAAUUGCUGUCUGUGCAUAGCGAUUCUUCUCGAGUAAAGGUCAUUCCAUUUAUAAGAGCUUGAAGAGUGGCCAUCGCUCAUUAGGGGAGUAUGACUUUCCCCCAUAACCUGGCAUUUUAGAUCAAACACAGUGAUCAGACCAGUUGUUUUCACCGAAUAAUGGGUCUGAAAUAUCACUGCUUGACCUCUCAGCAGCCGAAUCUUUGACUGAGACAUUUCCUCCCCAAGAGAAGAGCAGUCGACACAUUUUAAGAAGACUUUUUCCUCAAGAGAGACUCCCUCUUAUUAUGUCCUGGAGCAUGCCUGGUAGGUGCAAACACCUCUUGGGUAUCCACCGCUGUGCUUUUUCUACUUUGUAUGUUGAUCCAUGAAGGAAGGAGACAAGUGAGAUGCAUUGUGCAGUUUAGUAUCUUGUGCCCAGACGCCCCGGAGAGCAGUAUAAAAUAAUUAUUCCGGCACUUGCCAUUCACUCAGCUGAAAGUGUGUGCAAUUUUCUCAGCAUGCUCAAAAUCUGUAAACAAAAAUCAUUGUAUGAAACAUGAUUUGCCAAAGUAAUAACCUCCAAAGAAAAGUGGAUCUCUUUAAGUCCACUUUUUGUUUUCUUAGGAUGUCAAACCAAGUGAGUGUUUCUGCAGAUGUGCUGCAGCUCUAGCACCGUGGAAAUAGAGUGAAUUUGGAGAGCUUUUAUGCAGACAUAAAUUAAUGAGCACAGCUGAGCUUUUAGUAAGAAAGAAAACCUUCACUAACAUGUCCCCCAGCGCUGUGGGGAUACACCCGCUGUCAAUGCAAAUCACCACAGGAGCAGGCGGGAAAACAGAACCGAGUUUGAGAUGUAGCUGCUGUUGUGCUCAACAGGAGGAGCUGUUGACUUGACGAGCAUUUUAAGCGUCAUGUACUUAAGAUCUACAGAUACUUCAUGAUUUAUCUGCUCCGAGUGUCCUAACUGUACUCCUACAAACCUGUUAUCGUAUUUCAGACCACGUCUGCUGCUCACACAUCUAAGCUCCUCUGACCUACUCGCUCAGGGGAGGCCAUAAUCAUAAUGAAGCAGAUGAGGAGGCCUUCAGGAAGCAACAUGAGAGGGAAAAGUAAUUAAGGGUAUCCUGAGCAUCAUGAUAUCACCCAGAAGAACCUAGUUAUCUCCCAGUGUCCAAUUACACCUCUCAUAAACGUGAUCAGGGUGUGUAAUAAUGGAUUUAAGGACAAAUUCCUCCAAAAUUGAUAUUAAUACCCUUAAAAUUCAAGCCCGGAAUCCUCGGGGCUCAAAAUCAUCAGACACCCAAGGACAUGUUUGAACAUCCCCACAAACGCGGACAUCUUUCUGCAGCAGCAGCUUCACCAUGCGUGAGAAAAAUCACACAUCUGAAUGGCUUUUUUCGCUCGCACACACCUUGAACCGAAUUAAUGGGGCUCCUCGCUGAGUCGCUGCAAAGAGAAGACAACAGUGUAUGGAGAUGGCGUUCACCGGGGGACUGCUGCUGGAUUUAAUUAGUCUGUGUUUACCUCUUCGUGUGACGCCCGAGAACCUGAUGCACAAGCACAAGCACGCUCGCUCACACAGAGGCACGGCUGUGAAAGAGAUGAAUUGCAAGCGCCUCCGGUCAAUCAGUGUGUAGGAAUGGAAACUCUGUUGGGAGGAAACGCUAGAUAGAGAGCAGUGUCUGAAAGGAAAGCAUGCGCCGUGUUAGUGCUUUCUUUAUGUCAGGAAGAGCGGGAGGGAAAUCUAAUGGGAGCUGGAGAUCAGAGAUGCUCCACUGUGUGCAUUUUGAGUAGUGAUGCACAGCUUUGAGAGUACAGAUCUGGAGUUCUUCUUCUUUAAGUAACAUCUUCAUAUAAGACAUGUCCUUUAAGAGGAAAGACACAAGCCGCAUAUUUGCUCUUAAAGCAUUACUGUGACAAAAAAACACAUACCAGUCCUCAUUCUCUCUCUUAAUCAUGUUCGACAGGAGCCAAAAACCUUGGUGGGCUGGGGGGGAUACAUAUUUAUCAUGCAACCAACUCCACUCCCAUGACAGAUAUCUUACUUUUACCCGUGAAAUCCACUUUUCUGCUCGAACCAAUAAUGUUAAUAAUGAAUUACAAGGAAGAAAAGCCUUGUAGAAGCAUGUCGGCAGAACAUACUCAUUCUCCAUUAUUAAUUCAGGUACAAGGACUCGUAUGCUGACAAGUGCAUGAACGCUAAUUUUUCAAACACAGUGCCUGUAGGAGGCUGAUGAGAGCAAAUCAUGUGUAAUAAUAAACCUUUGUUUCUCAGAGCGAGGGGGAGGAAGCACGCCGCCAAAUAGCCCAGUGGAGGCGCAUUAAGGAUGCUUGACUGGGCUUCUGGGAGGAACCUUCAGUCCUGGCGGUGAGAGCUUUCUAUCUGGCGAAGACGGAG
rnacentral:lncRNA from 1 species